rnacentral:rRNA from 1 species
CCUACGGGAGGCUGCAGUGAGGAAUAUUGGUCAAUGGGCGCGAGCCUGAACCAGCCAAGUCGCGUGAGGGAAGACGGUCCUAUGGAUUGUAAACCUCUUUUAUCUGGGAGCAAAAGACGCCACGCGUGGCGUUCCGAGAGUACCCGAAGAAAAAGCAUCGGCUAACUCCGUGCCAGCAGCCGCGGUAAUACGGAGGAUGCGAGCGUUAUCCGGAUUUAUUGGGUUUAAAGGGUGCGCAGGCGGAAGAUGAAGUCAGCGGUAAAAUUGGGAGGCUCAACCUCUUCGAGCCGUUGAAACUGGGUGUCUUGAGUGAGUGAGAGGUAUGCGGAAUGCGUGGUGUAGCGGUGAAAUGCAUAGAUAUCACGCAGAACUCCGAUUGCGAAGGCAGCAUACCGGCGCUCAACUGACGCUCAUGCACGAAAGUGUGGGUAUCGAACAGGAUUAGAUACCCGAGUAGUC